rnacentral:rRNA from 1 species
CACGAGAGGGACAAGUGUUGUUCGUCUUGACUGGGCGUAAAGGGCACGUAGACAAUCAAUCUAACGGGUAAGGUAAAUGCUGUGUAUGAAGUACAUAGAACACCUUAUCGCGAACAUUUUGAUUAGAGUUAUUACUCGGGAUCAUAUAAAUUUUUUUAUUGGGCUAGAAUCCUAAAAAAACAAAGUGCCGCUAUCGGUGAAGGCGUUGAUCUGGAGGUAACUGACGUUAAGGUGCGAAAGUGUGGGGAGCAAAUAGGAUUAAGAAACCCUGGGUA